rnacentral:rRNA from 1 species
UAGAGUUUGAUCAUGGCUCAGGAUGAACGCUAGCGGCAGGCUUAACACAUGCAAGUCGAGGGGUAACAGAGUAGCUUGCUACUGCUGACGACCGGCGCACGGGUGCGUAACGCGUAUACAAUCUACCUUAUACUGGGGUAUAGCCUUUAGAAAUGAAGAUUAACCCCCCAUAGUCUCUAAGAGUGGCAUCACAUUUAGAGUAAAGGUUACGGUAUAAGAUGAGUAUGCGUUCUAUUAGUUUGUUGGUGAGGUAACGGCUUACCAAGACUACGAUAGAUAGGGGCCCUGAGAGGGGGAUCCCCCACACUGGUACUGAGACACGGACCAGACUCCUACGGGAGGCAGCAGUGAGGAAUAUUGGACAAUGGAGGCAACUCUGAUCCAGCCAUGCCGCGUGUAGGAUGACUGCCCUAUGGGUUGUAAACUACUUUUAUACAGGAAGAAACACCUCUACGUGUAGAGGCUUGACGGUACUGUAAGAAUAAGGAUCGGCUAACUCCGUGCCAGCAGCCGCGGUAAUACGGAGGAUCCAAGCGUUAUCCGGAAUCAUUGGGUUUAAAGGGUCCGUAGGUGGAUAAUUAAGUCAGAGGUGAAAUCUUGCAGCUCAACUGUAAAAUUGCCUUUGAAACUGGUUAUCUUGAGUUAUUAUGAAGUAGUUAGAAUAUGUAGUGUAGCGGUGAAAUGCAUAGAUAUUACAUAGAAUACCAAUUGCGAAGGCAGAUUACUAAUAAUCAACUGACACUGAUGGACGAAAGCGUGGGUAGCGAACAGGAUUAGAUACCCUGGUAGUCCACGCCGUAAACGAUGGUUACUAGCUGUUUGGACUUCGGUCUGAGUGGCUAAGCGAAAGUGAUAAGUAACCCACCUGGGGAGUACGUUCGCAAGAAUGAAACUCAAAGGAAUUGACGGGGGCCCGCACAAGCGGUGGAGCAUGUGGUUUAAUUCGAUGAUACGCGAGGAACCUUACCAGGGCUUAAAUGUAAGUUGCAUUAGUUAGAGAUAGCUAUUUCUUCGGACCACUUACAAGGUGCUGCAUGGUUGUCGUCAGCUCGUGCCGUGAGGUGUCAGGUUAAGUCCUAUAACGAGCGCAACCCCUGUUGUUAGUUGCCAGCGAGUCAUGUCGGGAACUCUAACAAGACUGCCAGUGCAAACUGUGAGGAAGGUGGGGAUGACGUCAAAUCAUCACGGCCCUUACGUCCUGGGCUACACACGUGCUACAAUGGUAGGGACAGAGAGCAGCCACUGGGCGACCAGGAGCGAAUCUAUAAACCCUAUCACAGUUCGGAUCGGAGUCUGCAACUCGACUCCGUGAAGCUGGAAUCGCUAGUAAUCGGAUAUCAGCCAUGAUCCGGUGAAUACGUUCCCGGGCCUUGUACACACCGCCCGUCAAGCCAUGGAAGUUGGAAGUGCCUGAAGUCCGUCACCGCAAGGAGCGGCCUAGGGUAAAGUCGAUAACUAGGGCUAAGUCGUAACAAGGUA